rnacentral:tRNA from 7 species
GCCGUUGUAGCUCAGUUGGUAGAGCGCGUCCUUGGUAAGGACGAGGUCACCGGUUCAAUCCCGGUCAACGGCUCCA